GACGAACGCUGGCGGCGUGCUUAACACAUGCAAGUCGAACGGAAAGGCCCUUCGGGGUACUCGAGUGGCGAACGGGUGAGUAACACGUGGGUGAUCUGCCCUGCACUUUGGGAUAAGCCUGGGAAACUGGGUCUAAUACCGAAUAGGACCACGCGCUUCAUGGUGUGUGGUGGAAAGCUUUUGCGGUGUGGGAUGGGCCCGCGGCCUAUCAGCUUGUUGGUGGGGUAAUGGCCUACCAAGGCGACGACGGGUAGCCGGCCUGAGAGGGUGACCGGCCACACUGAGACUGAGAUACGGCCCAGACUCCUACGGGAGGCAGCAGUGGGGAAUAUUGCCCAAUGGGCGCAAGCCUGAUGCAGCGACGCCGCGUGAGGGAUGACGGCCUUCGGGUUGUAAACCUCUUUCACCAGGGACGAAGCGUAAGUGACGGUACCUGGAGAAGAAGCACCGGCCAGCUACGUG
rnacentral:rRNA from 1 species